rnacentral:rRNA from 1 species
UACGUAGGGGGCAAGCGUUGUCCGGAUUUAUUGGGCGUAAAGAGCGUGUAGGCGGCCUGACAGGUCUGCUGUGAAAACUCGAGGCUCAACCUCGAGAUGUCGGCGGAAACCGUCUGGCUAGAGUCCGGAAGAGGAGAGUGGAAUUCCUGGUGUAGCGGUGAAAUGCGCAGAUAUCAGGAAGAACACCUAUGGCGAAGGCAGCUCUCUGGGACGGUACUGACGCUGGAGACGCGAAAGCGUGGGGAGCGAACAGG